rnacentral:rRNA from 1 species
CCUACGGGCGGCAGCAGUCGAGAAUCAUUCACAAUGGGGGAAACCCUGAUGGUGCGACGCCGCGUGGGGGAAUGAAGGUCUUCGGAUUGUAAACCCCUGUCAUGUGGGAGCAAAUUAAAAAGAUAGUACCACAAGAGGAAGAGACGGCUAACUCUGUGCCAGCAGCCGCGGUAAUACAGAGGUCUCAAGCGUUGUUCGGAAUCACUGGGCGUAAGGCGUGCGUAGGCUGUUUCGUAAGUCGUGUGUGAAAGGCGCGGGCUCAACCCGCGGACGGCACAUGAUACUGCGAGACUAGAGUAAUGGAGGGGGAACCGGAAUUCGCGGUGUAGCAGUGAAAUGCGUAGAUAUCGAGAGGAACACUCGUGGCGAAGGCGGGUUCCUGGACAUUAACUGACGCUGAGGCACGAAGGCCAGGGGAGCGAAAGGGAUUAGAUACCCGUGUAGUC